GGUCAAGUUACAAAGGGCGUAUGGUGGAUGCCCAGGCACUUAGAGCCGAAGAAGGACGCAGCGAGCGGCGAAACGCUCCGGGGAGUCGCAAGCAGACGUAGAUCCGGAGAUUUCCGAAUGGGGAAACCCGCUUAAGGUAAUACUUAAGCAUCCCAUGGUGAACACAUAGCCAUGGGAGGGGAAACCGCGUGAACUGAAACAUCUAAGUAGCGCGAGGAAAAGAAAGAAACAUCGAUUUCCUAAGUAGCGGCGAGCGAAAAGGAAAGAGCCCAAACCCGGCACUCAAUUAGGGAUGCUAUACAAAAAGAAAGAAGAAAAAAAUAGCAAUCCUAAUUGAGUGCCGGGGGUUUAGGACCACGAGAAGGUAUAUGGAGUGAAGCCGAACAGACCUGGGAAGGCAGGCCAAAGAAGGUGAAAGCCCUGUAGGCGUAAGCUUUAAAUACCGAGUGGGAUCCAGAGUACCACAGGAUAGGCAACCCGGUGGGAAGACGGGAGGACCAUCUCCCAAGGCUAAAUACUCCUAAGUGACCGAUAGCGCAAAGUACCGUGAGGGAAAGGUGAAAAGAACCCCGGGAGGGGAGUGAAAGAGAACCUGAAACCAUAUGUCCACAAGCAGUGGAAGUCCGGCACUCAACUGAACAUGUUAGAGAGAAGAAAAAAAGAACUAGCGUGUCCAGUUGAGAGCCGGACGACCACGUACUUUUUGUAGAACGGACCGGCGAGUUAUAGAUAUGCAGCGAGGUUAAGCGAAAGCGGAGCCGAAGCGAAAGCGAGUCUUAAGAGGGCGAAAGUUGCAUAUCAUAGACCCGAAACCGUGCGACCUACCCAUGAUCAGGGUGAAGCCGGAGUAAGAUCUGGUGGAGGCCCGAACCACGUUGACGUUGAAAAGUCAUGGGAUGAAUUGUGGGUAGCGGAGAAAUUCCAAUCGAGCUCGGAGAUAGCUGGUUCUCCCCGAAAUAGCUUUAGGGCUAGCCUCAGGGGUGAAAAAUAUGGAGGUAGAGCACUGAAUGGACUAGGGGCCAAAAAGGUUACCGAACCCUAUCAAACUCCGAAUGCCAUAUUGAGAACCCUGGGAGUCAGACUACGAGUGAUAAGAUCCGUGGUCAAAAGGGAAACAGCCCAGACCGACAGCUAAGGUCCCAAAGAGCAUGUUAAGUGGGAAAGGAAGUAGGAUUUCCAAGACAACCAGGAUGUUGGCUUAGAAGCAGCCAUACAUUCAAAGAGUGCGUAAUAGCUCACUGGUCGAGAAAUCCCGCGCCGAAAAUAAACGGGGCUAAAACAUGCCACCGAAGCUACGGAUUCGAAAGAAUGGUAGGGGAGCGUACUGUACAGGGCGAAGGAUAAGCGUAAGCGAAUCUGGACAGUACAGUAGAGAGAAUGCCGGUAUAAGUAACGAGAGUAAGGCGAGAAACCUUACCGUCGAAAGCCUAAGGUUUCCUGGGGAAGGAUAAUCCGCCCAGGGUAAGUCGGGACCUAAGCCGAGGCGAAAGCGUAGGCGAUGGACAACCGGUAAUAAAUCCGGUACCACCGAAAUCCGUCAAAAGAGAAGCAAGGACGCAGCGAGAUAAGAAAAGCGUGCGGUUGGUAGAGCACGUCCAAGCAGCGACGAAAAGAGCUUUGAGUGAAGUACCAAAGCUCAUAAGAGCUGUGAAGGGGAGCCGAAAGGCGAAGUUUCGAAGGGGCUGCCAAGAAAAGUUGCUAUCGAGGAUAGAGGUGCCCGUACCAGAAACCGACACAGGUAGGCGAGGAGAGAAUCCAAAGACGAGCGGGAGAACCCUCAUUAAGGAACUCGGCAAAAAGACUCCGUAACUUCGGGAGAAGGAGUGCCGAAAGGCCGCAGAGAAGAGGCCCAAGCGACUGUUUACCAAAAACACAGGUUUCUGCUAAGUCGAAAGACGAAGUAUAGGAGCUGACGCCUGCCCGGUGCUGGAAGGUUAAGGGGAAGUGUUAUCCGGCACUCAACUAUACCUAUUAGGAGUGAAAGAAAUGUAUUAUGUCUAUAUAAUAAAGAACGAAAAUGGAGGCAUAUAUACAGGCUAUUCAGAAAAUAUAAGGAAAAGACUAGAAGCUCAUAAUAAAGAGCUAAACAAAUAUACAAAGGGGCAUAAAUGGGAACUAAUAUACUAUGAAGCAUAUAAAGCAAAAGAAGAUGCCCAAAAAAGAGAAAAACAAUUAAAAAAAUCCCAUAAUGCAAGAAGAUGGUUAAAAGAAAGAAUAGCCAAAAGCAUAAACUCUUAGUAGAUAGAGUUGAGUGCCGGAGAAGCACAGAACUUAAGCCCCAGUAAACGGCGGCCGUAACUAUAACGGUCCUAAGGUAGCGAAAUUCCUUGUCGGGUAAGUUCCGACCUGCACGAAAGGCGUAACGACUUGGGCGCUGUCUUGAUGGGGGACCCGGUGAAAUUGUAGUACUCGUGAAGAUGCGAGUUACCCGCGACAGGACAGAAAGACCCCAUGGAGCUUUACUGCAGCUUGUCACUGAAUUUUAGUAAUAUCUGUACAGGAUAGGUGGGAGGCGGAGAAAGAUGGGCGCAAGCCUAUCUGGAGCCGACGUUGGGAUACCACCCUGAUAUUACCGAAAUUCUAACAUAGGAGCCGUAAGCCGGCAUAUGGACACUGACAGGCGGGCAGUUUGACUGGGGCGGUCGCCUCCCAAAGAGUAACGGAGGCGUCCAAAGGUUACCUCAGCGCGGAAGGAAAUCGCGCGUAAGAGUGCAAAGGCAGAAGGUAGCCUAACUGCGAGAAAGACAAUUCGAGCAGGGACGAAAGUCGGGCUUAGUGAUCCGGCGGUAGAGAAUGGGAUUGCCGUCGCUCAACGGAUAAAAGCUACCCUGGGGAUAACAGGCUGAUCUCCCCCAAGAGUCCACAUCGACGGGGAGGUUUGGCACCUCGAUGUCGGCUCAUCGCAUCCUGGGGCUGAAGUAGGUCCCAAGGGUUGGGCUGUUCGCCCAUUAAAGCGGUACGCGAGCUGGGUUCAGAACGUCGUGAGACAGUUCGGUCCCUAUCCGUCGCGGGCGUAGGAAAUUUGAGAGGAACUGCCCUUAGUACGAGAGGACCGGGGUGGACAAACCGAUGGUGUACCAGUUGCGAAGCCAUUCGCACAGCUGGGUAGCCAAGUUUGGAAGGGAUAAACGCUGAAAGCAUCUAAGCGUGAAACCCACCUCAAGAAAAGAUUUCCCAUCUGGCACUCAACUAUACUUACUGAAGGAAAAAAGCACUAUGUACAAAUGUUAGGGAAUGAAAUAAAAUAGAUUACAGUAGGUAGAGUUGAGUGCCAGAGUAAGACACCUUGGAGAAGACGAGGUAGAUAGGCCGGAGGUGUAAGAGUAGAAAUACUUUGAGCUGACCGGUACUAAUAAGUCGAGGACUUGACCAA
rfam:Thermoanaerobacterium thermosaccharolyticum DSM 571, complete genome.